ACCCGGGUCACGGGGGCGGUGCGGAGGCCGAGGAAGCGCUCCUGAUGGAGGGGUUUCUGUUUAAGAGGACCAGGAGUGUGUUUAAAACCUGGAACAGGCGGUGGUUCAUCAUACAGAACAAUCAGCUUCUCUACAAGAAGAGGUUUAAGCGUGACUUCAUGGUGCUGGCUGAAGACCUGCAGCGCUGUUCGGUCCAGAGCUGCGAGGACGCCGGGC